GAGCUGCUGGAUUCGGGGCCGUAACACUGUCUGAGAGGUUUACAUUUCUCACAGUGAACCGGUCUCUUUUUCAGCUGCUUC
rnacentral:pre_miRNA from 1 species